GGGGGACAACCCGCCGAAAGGCGGGCUAAACCCGCGUACAUGCCACCGGGGCAUCCCGGAGGCAGGAAAGGCUUCGGCCGGACAGGGAUGGGCAUGCGGCGCAUUAGGCAGUAGGCGGGGUAACGGCCCACCUAACCGACGAUGCGUAGGGGUUCUGAGAGGAAGGUCCCCCACACUGGUACUGAGACACGGACCAGACUCCUACGGGAGGCAGCAGUGAGGAAUAUUGGUCAAUGGUCGGGAGACUGAACCAGCCAAGCCGCGUGAGGGAGGAAGGUACAGAGUAUCGUAAACCUCUUUUGUCAGGGAACAAAGACUGGGACGCGUCCCCGGAUGAGUGUACCUGAAGAAAAAGCAUCGGCUAACUCCGUGCCAGCAGCCGCGGUAAUACGGAGGAUGCGAGCGUUAUCCGGAUUUAUUGGGUUUAAAGGGUGCGCAGGCGGUCUGUUAAGUCAGCGGUCAAAGCCCGGGGCUCAACCCCGGCCCGCCGUUGAAACUGGCAGUCUCGAGUUGGAGAGAAGUAUGCGGAAUGCGCGGUGUAGCGGUGAAAUGCAUAGAUAUCGCGCAGAACUCCGAUUGCGAAGGCAGCAUGCCGGCUCCACACCGACGCUGAGGCACGAAAGCGUGGGUAUCGAACAGGAUUAGAUACCCUGGUAGUCCACGCAGUAAAC
rnacentral:rRNA from 1 species